GAAAAUGUUUAUUCGGAUUUUUAUUAUUAAAUAACAAAAUGGAAAAAAUUAAUGAAGUUUUGUUGGACUCUGUAACAACUAGUUGGAGUGGUUAAUCUGUUCCUUUACAUGAUAAUGUAUACUCAGAUGCAUCUUGUAAUGUGCAAUUGCAAGUUUCCAAAUACAUGCAAAGUAAAAUUGUUGGCGACAUGGCACAUGUAUGAAAGUCUUCUGUCACAGUUGACUCAGCAAGAAUGAAGAGAUCGAUACACUUUUGCAUUAUGGAAUACACAAGUUGGCAGUUCCUCGCCCACUGCCACCCAAAUACAGGUAUAAGAAAUCCUUAUCUGUACGUUACAGACGAUGCAGACGAAGUGAUUAUUAUGUGUGGCAAAAGAUUAUUUUAUGAAGUUUUUAUCUUUCUGACUUCGUGAUGGAACUUAUUGGAGUACACUUUUUUUGGAGAUAGGAGGAGUAUUGCCGCUGCAAGCAUGAACAAUAAUAAAACAUUCCAAAGAAUAAUUUGUUAUUUUAACGAUUAGAUUUGUUGUUU